UACAGAGGGUGCGAGCGUUAAUCGGAAUUACUGGGCGUAAAGCGCACGUAGGUGGCGACGUAAGUCGGGUGUGAAAUCCCCGGGCUCAACCUGGGAAUGGCGAUGGAUACUGGACAGCUAGAGUGUGUCAGAGGAUGGUGGAAUUCCCGGUGUAGCGGUGAAAUGCGUAGAGAUCGGGAGGAACAUCAGUGGCGAAGGCGGCCAUCUGGGACAACACUGACGCUGAAGCACGAAAGCGUGGGGAGCAAACAGG
rnacentral:rRNA from 1 species